AAAAACAUGGCUCUUUGGAAAUUACAUAUAAAGAGUCGGACCUGCCCAGUGAUAAAAUAUAUUUAACGGCCGCAGUACCCUGACUGUGCAAAGGUAGCAUAAUCAUUUGCUCUAUAAUUGAGGGCUAGUAUGAAUGGUUUGACAAGAACAUAACUGUCUCUUGCGUAAUAAUUAAAAAUUAAAUUUUAGGUGAAGAUGCCUAAAUAAAAUUAAAAGACGAGAAGACCCUGUUGAGCUUUAAAAACUUUAAGGCUAACUAACGAGUUUUUUUGGUUGGGGCGACCUAGGAACAUGUAAAGCUUCUUUAAUUAGUUAAGACAUUAAGUUAUGAUCCAAUAGAAUUGAUUAACAAAAUAAGCUACCACAGGGAUAACAGCGUAAUUCUCUCUGAGAGUCCAUAUUAAGGAGUGAGUUUGCGACCUCGAUGUUGGACUAAAAUAUCCUAAAGGUGCAGAUGCCUUAAAGGGUUGGUCUGUUCGACCAUUAAAAUUUUACAUGAUCUGG
rnacentral:rRNA from 1 species